GUAUUCUACAGCCAUAAUAAUACAUUUGCAAUUGCCAAAAUUGUUGUUCCAAACUCUGCUUCAAGCUCAAAUUUCGUGCUUACUCUUGAAAUUUUUUCAUAAUGUUUAAAUCUAUUUCUUCCUUGAGCUCUAGAUCUGCUUUCUCUGAUGAAGAUGGUAAUUCUGUUAAUUUUGAUAAAUGGAAAAUCCCUAAGCUCUCCACUAGGAGUAUUUAUAUUACUUCUUGGUUUAAAAAUGUUUUUAAAGCUGAACAUGAUAUUAAAACUGUUGAAAAAACUUUUGCUAUAUCUAGUAAGAGUGAAAAAUAUGAAUUAUUGGAUAAAAAAAUUAUUGAUGAUGCUCUGGUUAAAGGCUAUGAUUAUUUGCAUAUUGGAGCUGUUCAAGUUGCUUUUAAACCACUAGCUAGGCUAGAUGCUGAUGCUUCCGUUUCGCUUUGUCUUCGUGAUCCUAGACUUGUUGAUUUUCGGACUAGUAUUAUUGGUAUGAUACAAUCUUCUUUGUUUAAUCGACCAAUCCAUUUUAAUACUUUCCCCAACUUUUCUCUUUCUUUGACUGAUGUUCAUAUUACUAAAGCAUUGACUUUAAAUGUUUUGAUUUCUGGUUGUAACAUGGAAGAAGGUAGAAGACCUGUUGCUAUCAUCUACCGCAUUUAUUACAAAUUGCUAAAAGGCUCUCCAAAUUCUCAUUCUGUUAUCGAUCAUUCUUGGGACUAUUUUAAGUUAAUUGAAAGUUCUAGACAAGAUCCUAAAAUAUAUAUUCCUAAAAUGAUCCAAUGGAAUGAAAUUCACUUUCCUGAUGAGUGGAUUUUAGAAAAUGUUUGCGUGCCUGGUAUAGUAAAGGAAACCACUGGUCCUGGUUACAAUAUCCAACAAAAUUUAGAUGGAUCUGUUAAAAUUAGGUUUUUCUGAUUUAAAUCUUUCUAAUAGAAGAGAAAGACCAUUAACUAUUAAUUAGGGGUGUAAAUUUGUAACGUUCUUUUAUUUUCACUUUUUCCUUUUGCGUCGCUGCCUUCUUCAAAUCUUCUUGUCUUCUCGCCAUUCUUCACGCUUGCCUUCCUUGAAUCUUCAUUCCUUUCCUCUGUUUCUUUGUUUGCUUUUGCUUUCCUUCACAACACACACGGGCCGAGAUCGAGAGGGUUGCUACUGUUACGGUUACUGUCAAAGAAGUGAAGAACUCAAGAGAGAGCAAGAGUUCUGGAUUAAGAUUUGGUGAUUUCUGAAGCAGAUGGAGCAAAGGAAGUAGAAGUUUAGUUACAGAUGAUUGGGAGCCAGACUUGCAGAAAGCUAGAAACCGGACCAUGUUUGGAUAUGUUUAAUGUGUUAUAAACUUGGUUAUGAACUUUUUCUUAAUAUGUUUAUGGACUCUUGGGUUUGUACUUUUUUAAUAGGUUUAUGAACUUUUGGGUUUGUAAUAUGUAAUUUUGUAUGGAUGUGGAAUUUCCCUGAGGGCAUGAUAGUAAAUAUGUAUGAUUAAUAAUUUUGAUUAAUAGAAUUACUUUCAA